rnacentral:misc_RNA from 1 species
AAGUCGUAACAAGGUUUUCAUGAAACACACCACACUGAAGCCUUGAUCCCAGUCUAUAUAGGCAACACCUUUAAUGUGCUUGGAUACCUAAAGGUAACAAGCAGCUGCUUACUGCAGUUCACAGAUCAAACAAAGGUGGUCCUUUGGUGCUACUAUAUGCUUAGUUGCAGUUAUAGGAUUUAGAUAUGACCGGCCUACUUUUGUAAAAACCAGUAGAAUUUGUGUUCCGUAGGUGAACCUGCGGAAGGAUCAUUACAGAGAACAUGCCCUUCAGGGUAUAUCUCCCACCCUUUGUUUAUA